ACAGAGGGUGCAAGCGUUAAUCAGAAUUACUGGGCGUAAAGGGCGCGUAGGUGGUUAUGUAAGUGAGAUGUGAAAUCCCCGGGCUUAACCUGGGAACUGCAUCUUAUACUGCGUAGCUGGAGUGCAAUAGAGGGUAGUGGAAUUUCCGGUGUAGCGGUGAAAUGCGUAGAUAUCGGAAGGAACACCAGUGGCGAAGGCGGCUACCUGGAUUGACACUGACACUGAGGCGCGAGAGCGUGGGGAGCAAACAGGAUUAGAUACCCUGGUAGUCCACGCCGUAAACGAUGAAAACUAGAUGUUGGGCAGCUUAGACUGUUCAGUAUCGAAGCUAACGCGAUAAGUUUUCCGCCUGGGGAGUACGGUCGCAAGAUUA
rnacentral:rRNA from 1 species